rnacentral:rRNA from 1 species
GACGAACGCUGGCGGCGUGCUUAACACAUGCAAGUCGAACGGAAAGGCCCUGCUUUUGUGGGGUGCUCGAGUGGCGAACGGGUGAGUAACACGUGAGUAACCUGCCCUUGACUUUGGGAUAACUUCAGGAAACUGGGGCUAAUACCGGAUAGGAGCUCCUGCUGCAUGGUGGGGGUUGGAAAGUUUCGGCGGUUGGGGAUGGACUCGCGGCUUAUCAGCUUGUUGGUGGGGUAGUGGCUUACCAAGGCUUUGACGGGUAGCCGGCCUGAGAGGGUGACCGGCCACAUUGGGACUGAGAUACGGCCCAGACUCCUACGGGAGACAGUAGGGGGGAAUAUUGCACAAUGGGAGGAAGCCUGAUGCAGCAACGCCGCGUGCGGGAUGACGGCUUUCGGGUUGAAAACCGCUUUAGCCUGUGACGAAGCGUGAGUGACGGUAAUGAGUAAAGAAGCACCGGCUAACUACGUG